rnacentral:rRNA from 1 species
GACGAACGCUGGCGGCGUGCCUAAUACAUGCAAGUUGAGCGCUGAAGGUUGGUCCUUGUACCAACUGGAUGAGCAGCGAACGGGUGAGUAACGCGUGGGUAAUCUGCCUUUGAGCGGGGGACAACAUUUGGAAACGAAUGCUAAUACCGCAUAAAAACUUUAAACACAAGUUUUAAGUUUGAAAGAUGCAAUUGCAUCACUCAAAGAUGAUCCCGCGUUGUAUUAGCUAGUUGGUGAGGUAAAGGCUCACCAACGCGAUGAUACAUAGCCGACCUGAGAGGGUGAUCGGCAAAAAUGGGAGUGAGACAAGGGACAAAAGCCUACGGGAGGCAGCAGUAGGGAAACUUCGGCAAUGGACGAAAGUCUGAACGAGCAACGCCGCGGGAGUGAAGAAGGUUUUCGGAUCGUAAAACUCUGUUGGUAGAGAAGAAAGUUGGUGAGAGUGGAAAGCUCAUCAAGUGACGGUAACUACACAGAAAGGGACGGCUAACUACGUG